rnacentral:rRNA from 1 species
GGGUGAGUAACACGUGGAUAACCUACCUAUAAGACUGGGAUAACUUCGGGAAACCGUAGCUAAUACCGGAUAAUAUUUUGAACAGCAUGGUUCAAAAGUGAAAGACGGUCUUGCUGUCACUUAUAGAUGGAUCCGCGCCGCAUUAGCUAGUUGGUAAGGUAACGGCUUACCAAGGCAACGAUGCAUAGCCGACCUGAGAGGGUGAUCGGCCACACUGGAACUGAGACACGGUCCAG